rnacentral:misc_RNA from 1 species
CAUGCAGAAAUGUAAUUAAUAAAGAUAAUUCAAGAGGAAGGAAAGGAUGCUGCAUGCAAACGGUUCCUCUUCCUUUAAGUGCUUCUGGCGAAUCCUGAUAGACUUGUAUUCGAAUGAUUCAGAGAUGAGUUCGUGUACGAGGAUCGACGAAGUUGAGGAGAGUGAGCAUUGGUGGGCACAUAGUAGACAUCUUUCUUGCGGCCCUGGUCAACCGAUAGAGGGAAGCAAGAUUGCAUACCCUGGGGCAUCCGCCUAUGUUGUGAUAAUUCGAAAGAUAAAGGAAG